AAUGGGACGGCCGUUAGCUCUGCCCCGUUAACUCCCUCUCGCCCAAAAGGGCAUCAUCCCCUAGGCUAUUCUGUGUCCAUAUCCUCUUUCUCCAGACUCUAAUCUCAUAGCUGAAACCUUCACCUUCCGUAACCUGCCAGAGAUUGCCCUCCUUCGAGUUCCGCCGGUCAACACCGACGACCGUUCCAACAGGAGGACAUGAACGCGAAUCAGACAUUACCAGUUUACCACCACCACCAGAGACUAUGGUUCCUUUUUUUUCUCCUAAAAGGAACCACUAAAAUCUUUUCAAGAUCCCCAAAAGCUCAUUUUGGGGUUUGGGCGACUUCUCCUUUUAUCCUUUUCUUGUUGUUUGCUUCUCAUGGCAACCAUACCAAAUACCACUACCAGUGCUGUUAGUGUUGUUAUAGUUACACUAAAUAAAAUUCUUUCCUUCAAGAAUCCAAACUGAUGUGUCCACUUCCUCCUAGGCUCCCAUGGAAAAUGGGAAAAGAUAACAACUUGUGGGUUAGAAACUUAGAGUUCAGAGAGAAAAAGAAAGAAAGAGAUGAAAAGAAAUAAUUCCAAGUAUGAUCAAAACCAACCAAUUUCAAGUUCUAUCAAUACACAUUUCUGCAACUCAAAAACCAGAAUGUCAUCGCCAAGUAUUUUCUAUUUUUUUUUCUUUCCUAUAAUCAACAUCAAAUGAAUAACUACAUUCACUCUCCCCAGAAGAAAGAGAAUUAAAAGAGUGAGAGAAAAUAAAAUUGAAAAAAUGGAAAUAAGAAAUUUCUUUAUGGGCUCUUAAAGGCAUAGAUCAACAAAGAAAACUCAACUCUCUCUUGGUCCUUCUGCAAUGUCUUCUCCAAUGAACAUAACCGGCUGUCCAAUCCACUUCUUGUCCUAAACAUGAAAACAACAUAUCUAGAGUUUGGAUUGUAGAACCAGUCAUGAACAUCCCACAUCAUAUCAACUAGCAACCCAUCAACAAAGAUAGUCUGGUUCCCUCUAAAAUUCCACUGCAACCUCUUCACUCGAAUUACGUUCCUCUUAUCGAUAUAGAUUGAUAGCACUGGAUCCUUCAACCCUUCGUCUUCUCCACUGCAUCUGAUCAAAAUGUCGUGGGCCGUCCCAAUAUCACAGAAUUGCGCCUUGGUCGAAUACAAAGGGUUCCCUGAGAAAUGCUCUGUUUGGGAGACCAAGGAGAAUUGGGCAACCGAGAAAGGCGGACACGUGAUGCGCCCAAAUACAAAGCAUGGGAUGUAUUUGGGGGGCAACUCUGUGGGGGGCGGAUGAGAAUCCAAUCCCUUCUCUCUCGUUCAUUCCUCUCUCCCCCUUACCCUUCUUUCUCUCUUCCGCCGCCCCUCCUCCUCCCUCUCUCUUUCGAUCACCACCACUACAAGUCUACAACCAGAGACCCAAACAGUAAUGGAGGCCACCGAAGAAGAGAGCUUGCUGACUCCUGAAGAUCGAUUAGAUCAACUACCCAAAACACAACCACUUCUUCCUCCAUUUAUAUUAGCAUUUGCAUAAGUUGUACAAUAACAGAUACUCUGGCACUGGGCUGCGCAUUCUUCAAGACUCAUGCUUGUUGGGUUUCUUCCUGAUUUUUGGUUUGAAUUGCUACUUCUUUCAUGAUUGAUUCAGAGUUUCUUUAUUUUUAUUUUUUUAAAGAGUUUAAUUAAUUAA